GUCAAUUUAUUGAUAUCUGAAAAAAGCAACGGAGGGACUCCCAUUAAUAUUUUUCUGACUAAUUAGAUUAGGUCGAAUCUUGAAUAAUGGUUGCUCAAUAUUUUAAACACUACAUUUGUCUUCUUUCAUGCUAAGCCAAUACCCUGUAAAAAUCAUAGUAGGUUUGUUGUGAUAUCCAUAAGGCUUACUAUGGAGUUUGAUGUGGGGUUGUCUUGGUGCAUAUUAGAUGCUUUACAAUAU
rnacentral:lncRNA from 1 species